CUCGUAGGCGGUUCGUCGCGUCCGGUGUGAAAGUCCAUCGCCUAACGGUGGAUCUGCGCCGGGUACGGGCGGGCUGGAGUGCGGUAGGGGAGACUGGAAUUCCCGGUGUAACGGUGGAAUGUGUGGAUAUCGGGAAGAACACCAAUGGCGAAGGCAGGUCUCUGGGCCGUUACUGACGCUGAGGAGCGAAAGCGUGGGGAGCGAACA
rnacentral:rRNA from 1 species